CUUCCAGUAGCACCUUAAAGACCAACUGAGUUUCUUACUGGUAGUUGGUCUGUAAGGUGCUACUGGAAG